CCGCUGACUCGCGAAAUCCU
rnacentral:miRNA from 1 species